CCGUGGGCACGUUCUCGCUUCCAUUCGGUCCUCCUUUUGUUAACGCUCUGGCAUCAUGUCUACGCCAGCUCCCGCGCAAUCCGGCGCCAUCGCGCUUUGGGCGAGCAUGGCCAUGGGGAGUAGAGAGGUGGAAACCGAGCUGACGCCUGCCUGACCCUGGCGAUGGUGGCGCGCGCCGGGAAGGACUGAUUGGAGAAUGGCGCCAAAUGGGUCACGGAUGGCGAGGGGGCACAGGAGCUCUCGAUGUGACCUGGCGCUGUGGAUGUGAUGCACAGCAGCUUGAGUGGGACUGCUCCGCUGUCCUCAUGAGAGAACGCUUUUUCUGAAGAUGGGAGGUGGCUAAUGAAAGAAGGAAUUGUGUUCUCGGUGAUGCCUGGAAGAGAUGCGUGACGUUGGAAGAUGAUUACGAAAUACAGGAAAGGAAUGAAAUCAAAGGAUGUUUUUUGUAAGAGUAACACUUACAGAAAUAUUCAUUAAUUUGAAGAUUUAUAUAAGGCCUGGUGACCUCCGUUAAUUCCUGGGACCCACAGUGUGGAAGAAGAGACCUGACUCCUGAAAGUUGUCUUCUGACCACAUAUACACAAUAUGUAAAUAAAUGUAAUUAAAAAAAUCAAAAUAGUAAAACUG
ensembl:lincRNA 5430416N02Rik RIKEN cDNA 5430416N02 gene